UACGAAGGGGGCUAGCGUUGUUCGGAAUUACUGGGCGUAAAGCGCACGUAGGCGGACAUUUAAGUCAGGGGUGAAAUCCCAGAGCUCAACUCUGGAACUGCCUUUGAUACUGGGUGUCUUGAGUAUGGAAGAGGCGAGUGGAAUUCCUGGUGUAGCGGUGAAAUGCGUAGAUAUCUGGAGGAACACCGGUGGCGAAGGCGGCAUCCUGGACCGGCAUUGACGCUGAGGCGCGAAAGCCAGGGGAGCAAACGGG
rnacentral:rRNA from 1 species